ensembl:lncRNA
AGGGAGGGUGUUGAAAGUAUGUUGGCCCGACAGUUGUCAACACGGACCAAUCUUCGUGACUGCCAGGCACAUGAGCUUUAAGUUCCCAGUAGUACCCUGGUAGUUUUCCAUGAAUGAAUUGGAAGCCUUGGCUUUACAUUAUCUAGGUCAGAAUGAAGAACUGGGAACAAUUUUUGUCUGUUUUUGGCAUUUUCAAAUGCCAAUGGUGGUUCAAACCCAACACUGGGUUGAGAGGGGAAUAGUGGUUUUUGCUGAGGUGGAACAUUAACAUCAAGUUUUUCAGAUGAUUAUUGAAAUAAAAGUUUUGUAUUAAACUUCAGCUUCCUUUUGUGUUUAUUUCCUGGUGUGGAGUUUUGAUGGGACUGAGGUGUGUGUAUGCCUACGACAGGAAGGAGUCCAAAUGGUAAACUCAGUGGAUAUAGAAUGACAUUUCCAUCCAAGAAGGUGGAGCUGCCCAAUGUCCAUCAUCCAGGCCAUCAACCAAGACUUAGUCAUCUCUCUGUCCCUGGCACACACUGUGGCACAUCCAGGCUCUCUGUAAGGACUGAUGGGUUGAAUAAAAGACUGAACAAGAGAUAAGUUGGCAAUAGACUGAGAAGGGUUUUGAGUAUUGAUUUAAGACAUUUGGAUUUUAUCUUUUAGAUCACAGGUGUCCAACAGCCUUAAAGCUGAGAAGUGAUAGGAUGAAGUUCUCUUUCAAAUGUGUCAUCUCUUUGGGAGAAAUCUCAUCAUCAAAUAUUGUUUUAAUUAUCACCUCAAAAUAGGUCAUUGCGUUUGAGCCUUCCUCCUGAGCUCCAGUCUCACAUUGCCAGCUUUUUUCUGGGUCUCUGUGGGCUCAAAUUCAGCAUGUCCAGACCAGCCCUCAUUAUCCUUUCCUUCCCCCAAAGUCACUCUUCCUAUAUUAUCAAGUUCACAGGCAUCCAAACUAGACAACUUGAAUUAAUGCCAAACACUUCCACACCCCCACAGCCAAUAAAUCAUUAAGUUCUAUCAACUCCAUCUCUUGAACUUUAUCUCAAAUUCCUAGUCUUCCUUCUCUAACUCCAGUCCAUCCUCCACCCUGCUGCUCAUCUUCUAAGCCUAAAAACUAGAUCUGAUCAUGCUGCUGUCUUGUUAAAACAGUAACAGAAAAGGUCUACAACUCUGCAAUGGUUCUUCAUUGCUUACAAGGUCAAGAUCUUUAAGAUCUACCUACAAAGAUCUACCUUUUCUCCCUAUUCAUUCUUUCAUUCAUUCAAUACAUGUGUAUUGAAUGCCUCCCGUGUAUAUGGUAUUGUGCUCAUUGACUUUAUAUACUAGUGAGGGAGAUGCCACACGCAUAUAUAGAUAGGCACUUGGACUGCCUCGUGUUGUAGGCAGUAAGGGAAGUACCCUAAGGGAAGAUGCUACAGGUUGAUGGUGGCAUCCUCACUUCUUUGCUUUAGUAUAAAAGUUUUUAUACUAAAUAGUUUUUGUUUUUAUACUAUACUAUAACAUUGUUGGUAUUUGUAUACCUUUUUUAAAAUAAGUGUUUAGGGGCGCCUGGGUGGCGCAGUCGGUUAAGCGUCCGACUUCAGCCAGGUCAUGAUCUCGCGGUCCGUGGGUUCGAGCCCCGCGUCGGGCUCUGGGCUGAUGGCUCAGAGCCUGGAGCCUGUUUCCGAUUCUGUGUCUCCCUCUCUCUCUGCCCCUCCCCCGUUCAUGCUCUGUCUCUCUCUGUCCCAAAAAUAAAUAAACAUUGAAAAAAAAAUUAAAAAAAAAUAAAUAAAUAAAAUAAGUGUUUAUUCAUUUUUGAGAGAGAGAGAGAGAGAGAGAGCGCGAGCGAGAGAGAGACCAGGGGAGGGGUGGAGAGAGGGGGACAGAGUAUCCGAACUAGGCUCUGUGCUGACAGCAGUGAGCCACCCAGGCGCCCCUGUAUUUGUACACCUUUUGAGUGAAUUUGCAGAUUAUAUUAUGUAGUUUUAAAUUAAUCUUCACCAAGAAGGCAAAUGAUUUUUUAAAAAUUCUCAAAAGAAACUACAAAUUAAAGAUAAUACUUAAUUUUAAGCCUAAGGGAGGCUUACGCCUAGUAUGAGCCUUAAACAGCCUUAAACUUAAAACAGUAACUAUCUACAUCUGACAAGAAUUGGGCCCCAAAUUUAAAACUGUAGUAAAGAACAUUUGAAACAGUGAUUUAUAUUCUCCAUUUUUAAUGAUGAGCUACUCCUCAAGACUUGAAGUAUUAGCUGAUAAUAGUAUUAAAAGUCAUCAUGAUAGGGGUGCCUGGAGCUCAGUCAGUUAAGCAUCUGACUCUUGAUUUAGACUCAGGUCAUGAUCUUACGGUUCAUGGGUUCGAGCCCCCCUUGGGGCUCUGUGCUGACAGCUCAGAGCCUGCUUGGGAUUUUCUCUCCCUCUCUCUCUGCCCCUCUCCAGCUCUCUUCCUCUCUCUCUCUCAAAAUAAAUAAAUAAACAUAAAUCCAUCGUGAUUAGCAAUAUCUUUUUUUUUUUUUUGGCAACAUACAAGUAGAGCCUGCUGUGACUAUAAUUUUUGUGUUUAUAGGAUGAUGGUUCACAAACAUUCCCAAGUAGCGUAUCAUGCUUUUAUUAGCUCUCACGAUCUUCCCCACUUUCCCAGAGAAAGUAAAGCACCCAGCCAAACAUAAAUAAAUUUUUCAGUUUCAUAUUGUUAGAC